rnacentral:misc_RNA from 1 species
GAUGAAGAACGGAGCGAAAUGCGAUAAGUAAUGUGAAUUGCAGAAUUCAGUGAAUCAUCGAAUCUUUGAACGCACAUUGCGCCCCCUGGUAUUCCGGGGGGCAUGCCUGUUCGAGCGUCAUUUCACCACUCAAGCCUCGCUUGGUAUUGGGCAACGCGGUCCGCCGCGUGCCUCAAAUCGACCGGCUGGGUCUUCUGUCCCCUAAGCGUUGUGGAAACUAUUCGCUAAAGGGUGCUCGGGAGGCUACGCCGUAAAACAAACCCAUUUCUAAGGUUGACCUCGGAUCAGGUAGGGAUACCCGCUGAACUUAAGCAUAUCAAUAAGCGGAGGA